CUGCUCAAUGAAUAAUUUUAAAUAGCUGCAGUAUAAAUAACUGUACAAAGGUAGCAUAAUAAUUUGUUUUUUAAUUAAAAACUAGAAUGAAUGAUUAAAUGAAAUAUAAACUAUAUCAAAUUUAUAAAAUAAAUUUAUUAUUUAAAUAAAAAAAUUUAAAUAACUUUUAAAGACGAGAAGACCCUAAAGAAUUUUAAUAAUAAAUUAAAAUAUAAAUUUAUAAAUUAUUAUAUUAAUUGGGGAAAUUUUAAAAUUUAAAAAAUUUUUAAUUAAAUAAACAUAAAUUUUUGAAUAUAUAAAAUUUUUUUAAAAAAUUAAAUUAAAUUACCUUAGGGAUAACAGCAUAAUUUUUUUAAAAAG
rnacentral:rRNA from 2 species